AUGAGCCGAUAUAUGGAACUUUCUGCCGAAAUACUUCAUCCCCCACUCACAGCCUUUAUGUCUUUGUAAGAAAUUUUGUCUGCAAAAUAGGAGAAGAUGCUGAACUUUUCAUGUCCCUCUAUGAUCCCCAUAAGCAUACAGUGAUAAGUGAAAAUUAUUUGGUGAGGUGGGGGAGCAAAGGUUUUGUCAAAGAAGUUGACAAUUUCAACAAUCUUAAAGUGGUUUUCACUGAUCUUGGAAACAAAGAUCUUGGAAGGGAUCGAAUUUAUUUGAUCUGUCAAAUUGUACGAAUUGGAAAAAUGGAUCUCAAAGAUACUAACACCAAAAAAUAUACUCAGGGCAUA